UACAGAGGGGGCAAGCGUUGUUCGGAAUUACUGGGCGUAAAGGGCGCGUAGGCGGCCUUCUAAGUCGAACGUGAAAUCCCUCGGCUCAACCGGGGAACUGCGUCUGAUACUGGGUGGCUUGAAUCCGGGAGAGGGAUGCGGAAUUCCAGGUGUAGCGGUGAAAUGCGUAGAUAUCUGGAGGAACACCGGUGGCGAAGGCGGCAUCCUGGACCGGUAUUGACGCUGAGGCGCGAAAGCCAGGGGAGCAAACGGG
rnacentral:rRNA from 1 species